rnacentral:antisense_RNA from 1 species
AUACACAGAGAACCACGUGGAGGAAAAGCACGCGAGUUUGGAGGGGGUGGAGCAGGAACAGAGGUGGACUGGAAUGUCACACGACGGGGCAGCUGGAAGGGCACCACUGAGUUCAGUACUUCAAAAUUGCUGUGCUCUACCUUUCCCCAGUGCACAGAAACACUCUCCACACCAAGCUGCUGCUGCUGGGGGAUGGAGGGAUGGCGUCAGCGAUUCAAGACUGUUUUUCCUACCUGUUCAGCGCUUCUUUCAGCGAUAUGAAGUUAAAUCCAGGCUGAGUUCCCACCUGGUGGGAAGCACUGUGCAGGUUCCUGGGGACGCAGCCCUGCACAGCCCAGACUGGACUCCUUUCCCAUGGAACUUACAACACACGGGAGAGGCAGAGAGAUCCAAGUGCACAGAAAAACACAUGAAGAUUCAGCCCUGUCAUCUUGUGCAAAUCCUCACUGUCCCCAGAAGGAAGAGAGGCACACAGAGCUCCCCAGUCACUGGAAUCCAGGAAGAAUUAAGGUGCUCAAGACCCACCACCUCUUUGCCUGCGAACUCUAAGCUCUCUGUCCUGCUCCCUUGCUCCCAGAAGUGGCACUGGAUGGAUCCCAUCCAGGUCAGCCCAGGCUGUUAUUUCCUCCCCUUCUGUACCUAAUCCCAGUGAGAUGAAGAGUUUACACGUGUUUCUCACUUGAAUCAGGGAAGUCUAGUUUGCAUUCUCCUGACUGGAUGGGCCUGGGGAAGGCAGAGACUGCAUUGAAUCUUUCAUCUCAUUGGUCUGGGGAUUUGGUUCCGAAGAUCAAUACCUUCCAGAAUCUUCCUGUCUCUCCCCAAAUUCUGGACAGUUCUGUUUCCAGCACUCAUCCAUGAUAGGGGGGUACAGGAAAUGAGUGUCGAGGGAAAGGCAUCCCACCUUCUCUCUGUUCCACCUUCCAGAUCUGACAACUCACUGGAAAGUUCUUCUCUGUGUCCCUGUCCCCCGUCUGGUUCUGAGGCCGCCACUUUCCCCAGCCUUGGUGCCUUGGGUUUUUCUGCUCUGUGAAAUGAACAAGGUCCAUUAUCCUGUUCUCCCCUGAAGAAAAGAGGGUGUGGGGGGCUUGGCACAGGAAAUGGCCCUUGCCUUUCACAGGCUUUGGGGUCUGAGGGCAGCUCUGAUGCCCCAGCAUGCUUUUCCGACCCAACAACUGGGAGACCCCCUUGCCAUUUUCCCACCCAGUAUCUGAAAUUAGCAGCUGCCUAAUCUCUCUCUGCCAUAUCACUCAAUGGUUUAAUUGUGCAGAAAAAAAUGUAUUAAAAUGCAAAACACUCAGUUGUACUUCUUUAUGUUAAAUCCCUUCUUCACUCUAUCUCCCUUUUAAUUUUACAAGGUUUUUUCUCUUUCCCCAUUUCAUAAAAGGGAGAACUGGGCACGCAGGGAAUCAUUUCAAUUCCCCUAUAAAUCUCCAAAAUGAAUACUUAAAUUCGAGGAAAAAAUACAUUCUUACACCUUUAAUUUCCCUGCUAUGAAGUGUAAUGAAAAAGCCUGAUUAUUUUUAAUUCUUCCCUUUAAUAAUUCAGCGGCAGAGUGAUUUAAGACUAGGAUUCAUAAUUACCUUUCUGCUUUCUUGGCAAAUGGAGUUUUAAUAGAAAUGAGAGCUCUGGCGACUGAAAUGGAUUUCAACAGGUCGCUGGGGGGUCAGGUUCAACACCAAUUGGUGGAAAGGUGUUCCUAGAGUCCCUCAGGUAUGGGGUCUGGACUGGUUACCUGGGCCCAUGUGGACGGAGGAAGUAUAUCACCUUGUGCUCACUGGGAACCAUCUGUUGUAAUAGUAACCGAAGGUCACAGUGUGGGUGCCUAAUGACUCAUUUAUCCUGGAAGGAAGAAACUGGUGAAAAAUGGCCAUCAGGACAGUCUUCUUGAUUAGUAAUAAUAACUAAUAACUAUGAUGUUAAUGAUAGCAGCUACCAUUAAUUGAGCAAAUACUAUGUGUCAGGCACAGUGUUCAGUGCUUCAGAGACAUUCUAGGCAUGCAUGAUGGUGUGCACCUGUAGUCCCACCUACUCAGGAGACUGAGGUGGGAGGAUCACUUGAGCCUGGCUCACUUGAGGCUGCAGUGAGCUGUGAUCAUCACCACCACCAUCAUCCAGCCUGGGUGAGAGCGUGAGACCCAGUCUCUAAAAAGAAAAAAAAGACAUUAUUUUUUCUUAUUUUCACAAUAAUCUUUUCUACAUGGGGGGAAACUGAGGCUCAGAGGCUUAUAUGGUUUGGCUCUGUGUCCCCACCCAAAUCUUAUCUUGUAGCUCCCAUAAUUCCCAUGUGUUGUGGGAGGGACUCGGUGGAAGAUGAUUGAAUCAUGAGGGUGGGUCCUUCUCAUGCUGUUCUCAUGAUAGUGAACGGUUUUCACAAGAUCUGACGGUUUUAAAAACGGGAGUUGCCCUGCACAAGCUCUUUUUGCCCGCUGCCAUCCACUUAAGAUGUGACUUGCUCCUCCUUGCCUUCCACCAUGAUUGUGAGGCUUCCCCAGCCACGUGCAACUAUA